CAGCCACAUCACAUUGAAACACCAGUUUCCAUCUGAUCACUAAAGUUAAGCAACAUUGAGCAUGAUCAGUAUCUAAAUGGGUGACUAUUUUGGAAUACCAGAUGCAGUAA